ACAAUGAACCAGUUCAGAAGCCACUUGAACCACGACCUCCUCCACUGCCCAUUAAAAACCCAAAACCUCAUCUUGUUCGCAUGCCUGAAACAAUGGAUGCCAUGUCUUUGUCAGAUUCCUUUGAGGUGAUGACACCCUGGACAAAUGUGUGCAGAGAUCUGACGUUUAGAGGAUCAGAAGAGGCAGUGUAAGUCGUUA